GCACAGGCCAAUCAACAAUGCCUGGGAGAUUUAAAUCGAACUCUACCAGUAGAAGCCAGGCAAACACUCAUAACAAUCCCAUAGCUCAGGCACUGUGGCCUCAGUUACUCUACAUAAUAAGGUUUUUCUCUGAUUCUGCUCACCCAGUCUUGGUACCCCACAAGGGAUAGCUGGAUGUGACCUCCUAUCUGGAGAUUCAGCUUGUUUCUAGCCCAGCCCUACGACCAGGGUAUGUUCCGCCUUCUUCUAACCGAAGUGGCCUCCACUGAGCAUGCUCUAUGUGUGAGCCUGCCAGCAGGUGCUAUACAUCAUUCUGUCCUCACACAGCCCUGUGGGUUGUGUAAAAGCCUCAACUUUCUAAUGAAGGAUGAUGAAACUCAGAGACCACACUGGGAAUGAGCGACGGACUGAGAGAGGCAGAGAAAGAAAAGAGGUCAGUUUUCAAGCAAUCUUUGAACUCUCCAUAAAGAAGAUUGGGCACCACUUCACCACUUCAUCAAUUCCACUUGAUCCAACUUGAUGCCUUUGAACUGACAAAUGCUACCCUAAAACUGGUUUGGCAUUAUAUUGCUCCAGACUAGCUAGCGGAAAUGGUACACCUUCUUAUUACACUCUGGCCAGAGCUUCAGAUAAGAACUUCAGUCAAGCAUCUCCCGCCACACAGAGACUAGCUACAAAUGUCCUCUCCAGACUUUUGUUACUCUAAUUUUUUUUCUACAGGAUCCCAUGGACUUAUGUUGUCCCAUUUCAGCAGGAAGUACUUCUAAGAAUACAACGCCCCCUUUCCUUACUGUUGACAUUACAGGAUAAUAUGCACCUGCAUAGGGUUGGUUUUUAGUUGUCUAGGGUUGGGUAUGGACAGUGGUGUUCAGACUCGGCUAUCUCUUUUAGAUAAGUUUAGGUUAUGAAUGGGAAAGAUGUGGUUAGGAUGGGAUAUAGGUAGAUUAACAUAUCUUCAUGUAAGUUAUCUUAGUAAUUAUUAGCUAUAGAUAACUUACAUUGUUACAGAUUCUUGUAUGAUGUAACUUACGUAUAAUUAAGUUGCUAUUCCUUUCUCCGAUAAUUUGUAUAUUAUAUUUUGUCUUAUUGUGUAAGGUCUUCUUUCUGUUUAUGAUGUUUUGUCCACAAAUAUCCUUAACAUAUUCUAUAUAUGUAUGCUUUUACAUAUGUUCAAGAUAUUUUGUAUAUUGAUACAAUUUAGGAUACUUUUAUCAUGUUGCACUAUAUAGUUCUAUCUCUGAUUAAGACAUUUCAAUUCUAC
rnacentral:lncRNA from 1 species